ensembl:lncRNA
CACAAGCGCGCGCACACACACACACACGCCCUCUCUCUCUCUCUCUCUCUCUCUCUCUGUCUCUCUCUCGCUCUCUGCAGCUCCGUCUCUUGCACUCUCACUCUCCUCUAUGCUGCUAUUCUGGGAAGUGGCGCUUGGAAUAACCCCCGUGUGUGCGUAUGAGUGUGUGUGUGCGCGUGUGUCUCCUGAUUUCACCCUGACACACGCACACAUACACACUCACAACACUGUUAGACGCACACAUUUACUGUCUGUCUGUCUGUCUGACUGCAGCGACGCGGCUCCGGCAGCAGAAAUCCGGUCGGAAAGGAUUCCUUCCAUUUUUACGCGCAACUUUUCCUCCGUCGGCAGCUUCGCCGCGACGUCUCCCCCGCUCCUCCUCGACUGUUGUGGAUUUCUAACAACCACAUCCUGGCUGUCGCUGACGGACAAGCAGCGAGAAGUCAAGCCCGCCAGCUCAGAGUCGGAUCUCCUGUCACCGGGCUUUACUUGUUGUCAUUCUCACCGGAGACGCGCAGCUACAGGAGGGACAUUUUGUGGACUUGAUGAACUGGACCAGCGGACAAACAAAAACAACAGCGUGGCCCCAUCAGGACGCUGCCUGUUGAAACCAAACUGAGCGCGUGCAGACCGUCAGGUCAUCUAGUGAGAAAACUGACUUUUGAUGAAAGAGGACCUACAAAGACCUGAAAGAAACGUUAGUGUUCACUUCGACUAAUCAAUACACGGUUAGCUUAAAAUGUGCUUCACCAGUCAAAUGUCUUCAUCUUCUUCUUCUGCAGAUCGCUCAAUGAUCCUUCUGGCUUUAGAAGAACUGGACACACAACAUCGGGACAGCAGCAUUUGUGUUUUCACAAACUAGCAAAGGGAGAGAGACAUCUCUGAUGUUUUCCACUAAAGCUCCACUUUUACUUCCACUUCCUGAUUCCUGAUUUCCAGCCUGGCUCUACCAUCCAUCAGUCACGUCUGUUUCAGCAAUGGACGGGCACUUCCUGUUCCUGUGAACUUGUUGGCAGCCCUCAAAGGUUCACCUACCAUGCCUGGUAGUUUUGGGACCUUGUAACCCUCCAGAACCUACCCUCCCAACUCCCCCCACCCCACCCCUCCCCAUCCCCCUCACCCCCACCCCACCCUUCCUCCCUCUCUCCCUCUUCUACAUC